rnacentral:rRNA from 1 species
AACGAACGCUGGCGGCAUGCCUAACACAUGCAAGUCGAACGAUGGCUUCGGCCAUAGUGGCGCACGGGUGAGUAACACGUGGGAACCUGCCUUUCGGUUCGGAAUAACGUUUGGAAACGAACGCUAACACCGGAUACGCCCUUCGGGGGAAAGUUUACGCCGAGAGAGGGGCCCGCGUCCGAUUAGGUAGUUGGUGGGGUAACGGCCUACCAAGCCGACGAUCGGUGGCUGGUCUGAGAGGAUGAUCAGCCACACUGGGACUGAGACACGGCCCAGACUCCUACGGGAGGCAGCAGUGGGGAAUAUUGGACAAUGGGCGCAAGCCUGAUCCAGCAAUGCCGCGUGAGUGAUGAAGGCCUUAGGGUUGUAAAGCUCUUUCGCACGCGACGAUGAUGACGGUAGCGUGAGAAGAAGCCCCGGCUAACUUCGUGCCAGCCGCCGCGGUAAUAC